rnacentral:rRNA from 1 species
UACGUAGGGUGCGAGCGUUGUCCGGAAUUAUUGGGCGUAAAGAGCUCGUAGGUGGUUUGUCGCGUUGUCCGUGAAAACUCACAGCUUAACUGUGGGCGUGCGGGCGAUACGGGCAGACUGGAGUACUGCAGGGGAGACUGGAAUUCCUGGUGUAGCGGUGGAAUGCGCAGAUAUCAGGAGGAACACCGGUGGCGAAGGCGGGUCUCUGGGCAGUAACUGACGCUGGAGGAGCGAAAGCGUGGGGAGCGAACAGG